AAGAAGAAAAAAAAUUUGAUAUCUCGCUCUCAACGUCUCUCACGACUAACCACCCAAUCCAUAAAAAUCUCAUAAAAAAAAAUCUUUGAAAAAUCUCUCAAAUUCCUCUCAUCUCUCACCUCUCAUGCCACUCACUCUCAGUUCACACACGUCACUCCCUCACAAAAUCUCUCAGAUUCCUCACCUCACGCUCCUUCUCACUCACAUCUCCACUCACAAUCCCUCUCCUUUACCUCACAAAUCCGCUCUCCAUUCUGAAAAAGGGAUUCUCCCACAAAAACCCUCUUCACUCACUCUCAAAACCCUCACUCAACAACCUUCAAUCCUCACAAUCCCUUCAUCUUCCUCAUCUCUCGGCCAUUCUUCAGACCUUCAACCGCCGCCACGGAUUCACCACCGCGAAACCCCAAAAUCACCACACGAACCACCACACCCAUCACCUUCCAAAUCACCACACAUCGCUCAUCUUCCACCAUCAAAACACCACCACCAGCCAUCGCACAAACCCUUCCACUCACCGCUAUUUUCUCCUUCAAACCUCUACACAAACCAUUCCGCCGUCACAAUCCACAAAACCCUCGCCGUUUUCUACCAACCCUAAACCCCCGUCUUUAUCCUCUUCAAACUCAAUCGCUCUAACCUUCGCGAUUUCCAAGCGAUACCCCCUCCAUCGUCAGAGAAAUCUGGAGUCAAGACUACUGAAUUUGUGCUUGAAAUCGGUCUUGGUAGCGGUAAUUUGACUAAGAAGCUUUUGGAUGCCGAAGUCGAUCUAAAAGAUUAGCAGGAAGUUUUGAACAAGCCGCUAACAGUCAACAACAACAUAAUCUACUGCUCGGAUGUAAACAAGGGUUUCUUUAGUUCUGCUUUCAAACCGAUCCAUUUUCGGUUCAAAUUCCGUGACACCUCAAAAGCAGCGGUUAUCGUCAUUUAUGUUGUUGUAUGAACUUUGUAUAUAGUGGAGCGCUACUGCAGGAAGCUCAUAAUCAACUUUGAUUUGGCAUUUUUUGUAUAAAAAUUGUGAUAAGUUAUUGGUGGACCUAUGGCCAUGAAUAAGUCUGAAAUGCAUCUCAUUGGUGGUUAUAUACCAAAAUUAAUUUUUGUCCGAUGUAUAUGGGUACCUAAUCGGUCUUUCUUUACUCAUUUUUAGUUUCCUCUUAUUUCUAAUUCCCAUGAUGUUUAGUGAUUUUUAAUUAAAUGAAGUAUUUUAUUAUUCUGCUAAAAGUUUGGCACAUUUUAGAUUAUAUUACAGUGAUCAUAUUAUUAGUUA